GCUGCGCCGGCAGCUUCGCCCGCUGUCUGCUCCGAGAGGGACCCUCCAGCGAUUGAAAUUCACAGGCACCGACCGAGACCACGUGGGGAAGCGAGGGGGGCGCGGGGACCCUCCCCGGCGCCCAGCAUGGUCCUCCGCUUAAAGCGGCGAUGCCUGAGCUCGGGUGGGCCCACAGUGGUUUGGGGGCUGCCCGCAGCGGCACCGGGGGAAAGAGGGAUCCCGGCUUCACGCGGAGCCAACCCUGCCACUGCCAGCGGUUGCAUCCACUGGCAGGAGUGGCACCUCUCUGCAGAUUCCCGGUGGCCCCCUGCCCUCCGCGGGAAGCAGACAGGGUGCGGCACCUUUGGACACAGGAGGGAUUUGAGGUCAAGCUGCUGCAUUCAGCCCCAGAUGUCAGGCGUUGCAAAGGCUGGGGGAGGGGGGGCAGAUCGGGGCGCUUGCAAAAUGCCGGGCCAGCUUCAAGGUUCACUCCCGCGGUGAUCGGGGCAGCUGGAGGCAGGGUUUGACUUCAGGUCCCAUCCCUUAAGGCACCUUGGUUGAGUGUGGGGGGGAUCCCAGUGUCCAGAUCACAUCACUACUUAUCCCUAGUGGAUGUUCUGUGUAGCCCUUGUGCAGUUCCAACGUCCCUCCCCCCCUCCCCCUUUACACAUACGGCCUCGGUUCCCGCUCGUUCUUUAUUAAUUCCAUUCAUUGCCUAGCUUUCAUGAGCGCUAGGCACUCGCCAUACACAGGGAGAGAGUUGUUUUUCCGCCGCCUCACACAAGCUGUAGCGCUCACGCUAAAGAACAAAGACGGAAAAGAGAGACCAUGCGCAAGCAGAAAGCAUGGUAGGCACACUGGGUUCAUUGUUUUGCCUGAUCCUGCAAAUUAUUCUGCUCAGGCAAAACCUCCAGCACUAAUGAACUCUAGUGAAGCUCUGAAGAGACCUGAGAUUCAAAAUUCCACGGAUCAUCUUGUAGGAUCCUGUAUUUCCUGCUCUCUGCUAUGAUCUAUCACUCAUUUCUUUCCCUCUUUCCCCUUCUCAGUGCCGGUGCCCAUAGAUAACUGCAGAUAUCACCUAUGGAUUAAAGCUUUCUUUUUCCGCCAAUUUCCACGGAUCUCCCUCUGGAGGAGGAAGCAGGAGGAGGGGUGUUCUUUGGAAACUACAAAAUGUUUGCCUAAGGCCAUUAUUUGACUACUGGAUGCUGGAACAAUUUUUAUAAUGGGGGUGCCGAGAGCCACUGAAUCAAGCUGUAAACCCCUGUAUAUGAUGGAAGCCAAUUCAAGCGAAGCAGUGCAGCAGGACCUCUAGCAUCCCUAGUUUCAGCACCUACGCUUCCCGCAGUAUAGUGACAGGAGACAUGGCUAGCCCAUGUCUCACCUCCUCCCUCCCAUGCAGAGGAGAGUCUGGGAUCUUUGGAUGAAAGGCACAAUUGAAGUACAAGGCCCAGGGGAAGCUGUCAACGUGUAUUAAGAACAGCACAUAGUGUCAUGAUACUGACCUGUUCUCACAGCAAUAUGUCACAGUCAACUGUAGCCAUUAGAGUAUUUGUGCAAUGGUUUCAUCGGAUGCCUCAUGGACUCACUGAAAUAAUGAGAUGUAGUUACUAUCCAGGCUGCUAACAAUACUGAUUCCCAUCUAGUGUAAUGCACAGUAUAAUCACUCACCUUGCUAGUCAUGAAUUCAGGAAUCAUUCUUCUCCAACGCUGAACUCUUAUCACUGCAUGCUGCUUUAUACUAAAAUUUGAUCUUUUACUCUUUGAAUCCAUGUGCACUGAACAAUGAACACCAGGUGUGUCAUUUAUGGGAGGUGAUUGCUAUAACACGCACUUCCCAAUAUGCACAGUGCCAUUACAUUGAAUUGCAGCCUCUUAUUCAAUGGCAGACUGAAUAUUUUUAUUCAAGUAAUGACACAGAAUAGCCUGCCUGUUUCCUGUAACUUUCCAGCCUAAAUCAGCUUUGAAAAAAAAAAAAAAAACCCUGAUAGAAAGGGAUUCAAAGCUGUAAAUUAAAUUUUAUUCCCUAUGGACACUAGAUCUUUAUUUGGAUUCCUUUUAAAUGAAGAUCUAUGCUUCUCUCAGGAUAAAUUAUGUUUAUAAUGAGCAAUCAGUUGGUAUCUCCUGUCCUGGGAAUUUCCAGUGGGAAAGGACCUUUGCCAUUGAUAAGGAUGUUUUAUUUCCUGUUUUCAGAGUGAAAAUAAACUUGAAGGUAUUCAAGACACUCAUUCUGUUUAUAGCAUACCUCUUGCAAUUAGCCAAAUGUCAAUAACUUAAAGCAAUAGCUGGGAUAUAGUACUAUAGCACUUGAAAAAAACGCUUAGCUAUUGUCCUGCACCACCU